AUUGAACGCUCUCUUUCUUCUUUACACAUGCAAGUCGAACGGCAGCGCGGACUUCGGUCUGGCUGCGAGUGGCGAACGGGUGAGUAAUGUAUCGGAAAGUGCCCAGUAGCGUGGGAUAACUACGCGAAAGCGUAGCUAAUACCGCAUACGCCCUACGGGGGAAAGCAGGGGAUCGUAAGACCUUGCACUAUUGGAGCGGCCGAUAUCGGAUUAGCUAGUUGGUGAGGUAACGGCUCACCAAGGCGACGAUCCGUAGCUGGUUUGAGAGGACAACCAGCCACACUGGGACUGAGACAAGGCCCAGACUCCUACGGGAGGCAGCAGUGGGGAAUUUUGGACAAUGCGGGCAGCCCUGCUCCAGCCAUCCCGCGUGUGCGAUGAAGGCCUUCGGGUUGUAAAGCACUUUUGGCAGGAAAGAAACGUCGCGGGCUAAUACCCCGUGGAACUGACGGUACCUGCAGAAUAAGCACCGGCUAACUACGUG
rnacentral:rRNA from 1 species